GUGUAGAAUUCACUGUGUAGCCCAUGCUGGACUCCACAUUUAGAUCCUCCUGCCUCAGCUUCUGGAACACAGGUAUUAUCGCCACCAAGGCUCGCUGUUUAAAUUUUUUUUUAGUUUCUAGUUGUGUUUUAUAUAUAAGUAGACUAGAGAAAAAUCUCCACGUUUUCUCCUAGGAUAGGCUAGAAAAAUAUCCAUCUGUCAGUAGAAUUUAACUUUCAAUAAGUGAAUAAUUUUUUUAUUUUAAAAUAUCUAUUAUUAGAGGAUGCUGACAGUGGAUUAUUAAACUUGAGAUCAUGGGUUGCUCAGUGGGACACCUAAUGCUAUGUAAAUGACACCAUUAUUUUGUAAAUCAAAGUAGCUAUCUGCAUUUACCUAAAUACAGAUCACCUGUGUAUAUCAGUGAACAUGCACUGCAUAUGGUAUGUAAUUAGGCUGUAUACAUACAGGUUUAGUCGUAUGCACAUGUACCUAUCUCUACUUACAAAACAGCAUCAAGGUACUCUUUGGCAACACUUGCUGAAAAUGUGAUAGAUAGUACUGUUUGUUUUAUAAUAUCUGCAUAAGGAUUUUUAAUACUCAUGAUUUGUGAAUAAUAGACAAAUAUGGAAUCUUGGUAUGUUGAUGGUAUGCCAUGUUUAUUUGGGGUUUGUAUAUUAUGUACAUCUGAUAAAUAGCAUUUAUAAGGUAUUUUGUAUUUGCAAAUAUUGGGCAUAGUUUUUUAAGGCAAGACUUGUACAAGCGAAGCCACCAUGCUUCCUUUUUAUUGAAAAGUAAGGUAUAAAGUUAUUCAUAAAAUAAGCUUAAUGAGUUGUUUUUGUUUUACGGAGUUUUUUAUUUUUGGUUCCUUGAAUCUUUUUCAAAUUAGAUAUUCAUCAAAAUAUAGAAAACCCCCAUUUAUAUUUACAAAUUUAUAUAAUUUUUAAAUAUCUGUCUAAUUGCUGAUUAGUCUCUUCCAGUGUUUGUUCAGUUUUCAUUUGCUAGGACUGAACUGUAGAGUAUUUUACUGCUUUAUGGUUGAUGACCAGGUUUCUUUAGAAUGUCUGAGCUUCCCUUUCCCUGCCACAUACACAAUUUUAAGAAUGUAAAACUUUAGAAUAUCUUUUGCCAGUAGAAGAAUUAAAAACCAGUGGUUAGGUUUUCCUUAUUUGGUUUUUAUAAAGAAUUUUCUUCACCUGCUAGUGGUGUGCAAGUAUGUCAGUUGUAGACUGUUUAGAAUUUUCUGUUACAUUAUGUGACUUUUAGUUAAAAUAUUAUAAAAAUGCUGUUUUUUUUAAAAAAAUUCCAUAGUAUUUAAGAAGCUGGCUUAGUAUAUAUCUUUCAGCUUAUAUUUUUGGUAUUUGUAUAUACAGUGUGCUGUCAUAUUAUGGAGAAAGACAAUGUUUUUUUUUUUAACACACCUUUUGACUUGCAUGUAAAAUUGGGUUAUAAUCAUGACAUUGUGCCCAUUUUACUUAAAUUAUCAUGUACUUAUGUAAUAGAUAGCAAUGUUUUAUGUCUACACUAACAUUUAAUGCCAUUUUUUCUCAGUGGACAUGUCUUAAAUUAUGUGGUUCUGUAUUCAUCUCUUGUAUGACAAAAAGCAAUACAACUUUGUAAGUAACAGGCAAAAGUAAUUUCAAGAAUUUAAUGUCUAGAAUUUCUAGAUGCAUUGAGUUGCACAAAUUAUAAUUUUGUAAAUAGGCUGCUUCUCAUACCAUUGUCUUUUGCAAUUAAUAUGGCAUUUAAACAUAUCAUUCACAAAUAGACUCAUAGAACCAAUAUGGUGGCACAGGCCUUUGAUUCCAGCACUCAGGAGGCUGAGCCAGGAAUAACCUAGCUGGGCAACUUAACAAAACCCUUUCUCAAAAUAAAAACUAAAAAAGGGGGAUGUAGCUUGGUCUGCAGGCCCUUGGAUAACUCCUCAGUACUGCUCCAAAAAGAAAGAGGCACAUGGAGAUAUAUAGCAUUUAUCACUUCUUCCUUUGAGUGUUAGAAGAGAAAAUAACAAGGCAGUGUCCUUUUACUCCAUUCCCAUGGAGGAGUAGUUUACAUUGUGUCAAAUAUAAAUUCCAUUUUAAGACUACAAAAUUAUAAGAAAAAUAAUUUGGCCUUCUACGAUUUUGGGUGUGUUUGCUUUACAUGCAUUUCUGAUUUUUGCAGUUAACCUUCAAGAUACAAAUAAUUAUAUUAAAGCAAUUUUGUACUACCUCUUGGAACUAUACAAAGUUCUGUAUGUGUUCCCAUAGUUGCAUGACAAUAUUCAAGACAACUUUGUAAAUAGUCAGAAAAUAAUUUCAACAUCUAGCCUUUUGACAUGAAGAAUCUCACAAAGUAUAAUUUUGUAAAUAAGUCAUAUUUUCAUUUUAUAAUUUUUUGAAAUGAAAUGGUUAGCUGUAGUUUAUUUCAGCUCUAUGUAGCUUGUUAUUUUUUUGGUUGGUUGGGGAAGGAGAAAAUUUAAAAUUGUAUUUUCAGCUGUGAAUUGUCAUCUUUGAGAAAGGUUUCCCAUAUUUUCAAUCUUACACAUUAAAACCCUAGAUCGUCGUUUGUGUAUAUAUUUUGUUUAUUGGGUGUUACAUGGACAUUUUUAUAAUCAUUACAGGAAAUGUCAUAAAUUUCUACCUCUUUGAAUCAACAUAGUAUUAUCUGUUUGAACUGCGUGACAGCAUCAAGACAAGUUUGUAAAUAACAUACAAUUUUAAAACAUCUAGAUUUUCUGGAUGCAUGGAACUCAACAAGGCAUAAAUUUGUAAAUACUUCAUUGUAAAAUACAGUUAAAAUGACUAAUGCUUUUUAAAUUUUGUACUUAAUGUCUCAAAAUAAUAUUUCUGAUAUUUCUGGGUUUUGGUAGAGGUUGAUUAUCUGUAUUCUGACUGAUAGGGUUUAUUGUAUGUGGGAGAUAGACAUUGGUCAUUGUAUAUAUUAUGUUCUUAAAAACAUGGGGCAUUUUUAUCUUUACAAAGAAGAAACAAUGGUAUUGUUCUUUUACAAUCAGAUUCAGAGAAGAUUGCUGAAAUCAUUGUUACUUUGCUGUGCUGUAAUUAACCUUUAAAAAUGUAUUUUAAUGUAUUUGCAUUUUUAUUACAUUCAUGUGGGUAUUAAAUGUCAUGUUGAUAAUCUGUUUUAAGAAUACUAACCCUUUCUCUGUUAUUUACUAUUGCUUUUCAUUUUUAUUUUUAUUUUACAAAUUGUACAAAUUGCUACUUUUCUUAGCUUGCAGAUAUUUCUAGAUCACACAUACUAUUACAUCUAAAUGUAGCAGUAGCAUAAAGACCAUAACUUUCUUUUUGUUUAUACAUUUUUGAGAACAAAAGAAUCUGUGGUUACAAGUCUUUAUAUAAUUUAUGGCACAUGAAAAUUAGACUCACGUACUACCAAUUAUGUUAAGUAAGAGAAUGUCUAAUAAAGAUUUCUGUAUUGAUCAAUGUAAAUCAGAAUAUCUUUCAAGCAAUAAUUUGGCAAGACCAUCGGUUUAAGAGUAUAUUCAGUUUUUGAAAUUAAUUGGUAAAUGGAAUAUUAGCAUAUUUAUAAAAAAUUUACUAGGAAAGAAACUUUCUAUGUGUAGUCAAUGUCUGAACUAUCCAUUGGUGAAAGAAAUCCUAUAGAUUAUAGAUAUUCAACAUGAAUGUAAUUGAAAUACUGAAAUAUCCUUUUGGUAGAGUAUAAGCGUAUUAUGUAUUAAAAAUUUAAGAAGCAUUAACUUUCUGUUCAGCAAUAUGUCCAUAUGCUUUCUUCUAGUCUUCAACUGAAAUGUUAAUAGUUAUAAAAGUGUUAUAUAAUGACAUUCUUGACAUGUACGUACUAUUUCUUGGUAUUAUAGUGUUGGUAUUUUCUUACUCUUUGAGAAUUUUGAGUUAAACAGUAAAAGAAACAUACAAAUUUACAUGACAUCUACAGUGAAUAUUUGGAUAUAAAAUUAUGUGGAAGGAUAUGCCAAAGUUUUCAUACUCAUUAAAGGACGAGUACUGCGAUUUUCUGCAUUUUAGUUUGUAUAAGGCUUUUAAAAUGUUUAAAAGAAUCAAGGCAAGGACCCAAUUUCAAUCUCCGGAACCAAAAAAAAAAAAACAAAAACAAAAAAACCCCCAAAUCCAAGAAAUGUUAGAGACAGUUUGUCCGUUUUCAUCAUUUUUUUAUCAACACUGGGGAAGUUUUGAUUUGGGACAUCCAACCUUGUAUUCAUAUAGCAACAGCCUUUAUAAUUGACUUGUGAAUGGUUUCCUCAAGAGGCUACAAUUUAAAAGACAAUUGUGCAGCAAAGUCUUACUGUAAAACGAAGAGUGUUGGAUUACCUAGAAAGAAGGAGAAGAUGGAAUUUCUGGUGAGGAAGAUGAGAGACUUUUUGGAGCUAAACUGCAUAUAGCUGAUAACAUCCUGAGUGAUAUCACCUAUGAACCAUAGGUGUAUAUUGAAAAGGAACUUGACACCACUGCUUCUGUCAGCCAUGUCUUCAAAACUAAAACAGAGCCUUCAUAAUGCUCAGAGACCUCUCAGGUUAACAAAUUACUGCCAUUGAAGAUCAUUGCUGCACAGAAAAAUUGGACUCAAAUCUACUUGGAAAGAGCUAAAAGAUGGCCUUGCAGAGCAUGUGUACUAGUCAUGACAAUGAUUUUUUUGUUGUUGAUGAUGGACUAAUUCUUAGGGACUGGAGUGGUGGCUCAGUUACUACAGAAGUACAGUGUGGUAGAAUUACAAGGGCUUCAUCUCAGUGCUUCCAUAAGUAUGCAGUGCAUGUGUUUCUAUCACUUCACAGGAUACAGUUGAGACUAACUGAAACUCUUGUUUCUAAAGAAUUUAAGGACAUGGGAUAUUUCAAAGCUAGUUUUUACUUAAAUGAUAUUUUCCUUCCAAUUUUAAUCUUCAGUGAUAUUUGCCAUUUUAAUGGUGUUUUAUCACCAAGCUUUUGGCGUUUUUCAUAAGUAAAAUGAUGCAAAUUUAUUUUAUUUUGUUUUUUGUUUGGUUCUUUCAGGCAGGGUCUCACUACAUAGUU